rnacentral:tRNA from 1 species
UCCCAUAUGGUCUAGUGGUUAGGAUUUGGGCGCUUUCACUGCCAAGGCCCGGGUUCAAUUCACGGUGUGGGAA